rnacentral:rRNA from 1 species
UCCGGAGGGUGCAAGCGUUAUCCGGAUUCACUGGGUUUAAAGGGUGCGUAGGCGGGUAAGUAAGUCCGUGGUGAAAUCUCUGAGCUUAACUCAGAAACUGCCGUGGAUACUAUUUGCCUUGAAUAUUGUGGAGGUGAGCGGAAUAUGUCAUGUAGCGGUGAAAUGCUUAGAUAUGACAUAGAACACCAAUUGCGAAGGCAGCUCACUACACAAUGAUUGACGCUGAGGCACGAAAGCGUGGGGAUCAAACAGG